rnacentral:rRNA from 1 species
GCGUGAGGAACCUGCCUCAAAGAGGGGGACAACAGUUGGAAACGACUGCUAAUACCGCAUAAGCCCACGGAUCGGCAUCGAUCUGAGGGAAAAGGAGCAAUCCGCUUUGAGAUGGCCUCGCGUCCGAUUAGCUAGUUGGUGAGGUAAUGGCCCACCAAGGCGACGAUCGGUAGCCGGACUGAGAGGUUGAACGGCCACAUUGGGACUGAGACACGGCCCAGACUCCUACGGGAGGCAGCAGUGAGGAAUAUUGGUCAAUGGGCGGAAGCCUGAACCAGCCAAGUAGCGUGAAGGACGACUGCCCUAUGGGUUGUAAACUUCUUUUAUGCGGGGAUAAAGUUCGCCACGUGUGGCGUUUUGCAGGUACCGCAUGAAUAAGGACCGGCUA